UGUAACAUUUUCUGUGGCCUACAUUGUGUGUGCUCAUCUAUAUAUAAUAUUAUAUAUAGAUGAGCACACUCAAUGUAGGCCACAGAAAAUGUUACAUC